CCUACGGGAGGCAGCAGUGGGGAAUCUUGCGCAAUGGGCGAAAGCCUGACGCAGCCAUGCCGCGUGAAUGAUGAAGGUCUUAGGAUUGUAAAAUUCUUUCACCGGGGACGAUAAUGACGGUACCCGGAGAAGAAGCCCCGGCUAACUUCGUGCCAGCAGCCGCGGUAAUACGAAGGGGGCUAGCGUUGCUCGGAAUUACUGGGCGUAAAGGGAGCGUAGGCGGAUAGUUUAGUCAGAGGUGAAAGCCCAGGGCUCAACCUUGGAAUUGCCUUUGAUACUGGCUAUCUUGAGUUUGGGAGAGGUGAGUGGAACUCCGAGUGUAGAGGUGAAAUUCGUAGAUAUUCGGAAGAACACCAGUGGCGAAGGCGACUCACUGGCCCAAUACUGACGCUGAGGCUCGAAAGCGUGGGGAGCAAACAGGAUUAGAUACCCUGGUAGUCCACGCCGUAAACGAUGAGUGCUAGUGUCGGCAUGCAUGCAUGUCGGUGACGCAGCUACGCAUAAGACACUCCGCCGUCGGGAGGUACGGUCGCGAGAAUUAAAACGUUAAAAGGUAAGUUAGACGGCGUGAGACGUCGCCGACGGACGACGACGAGGGAGGAGG
rnacentral:rRNA from 1 species